rnacentral:lncRNA from 1 species
GAAAACGCACUGUGUGUAGAGGUUUUUGUUAGUUAACGUCACUUUUUCUAGAACAUGAAAAUCUUGGACAUGGUGCUUCUGAAUGAGCAGGAGUCCACUGCCAUGGAGUACAGUCAAAUCUAAGCAGCUCGUGACCUCUGGCUCUCUGAGCCCACUCCAAGAGCACAAUCGUAACACCUAUCAACUCUCUGCAGCUCGCCGACCUUCUCGAACGCCGCCACCGUCUCCUCCAGCUCG